GGGGAUGCGGUCAAACGUGGCAUUGAGAUUGGUGGUAGCCAUGGUACCUAAAAUAAAAGACAACAACGAACAACAAAACAAAGAAACUUGUUAGUUCAAAAAUGCCUCACUACACUCUCACUCUCAAUUUUUACCUCACACUUGGUUUCACAAGUGUUGAAAGUCGGCUUGUACUUCGUGAGUAAUUGAGGGAGGAGUCCAC
rnacentral:lncRNA from 1 species